GGUUAAGCGACUAAGCGUACACGGUGGAUGCCCUGGCAGUCAGAGGCGAUGAAGGACGUGCUAAUCUGCGAUAAGCGUCGGUAAGGUGAUAUGAACCGUUAUAACCGGCGAUUUCCGAAUGGGGAAACCCAGUGUGUUUCGACACACUAUCAUUAACUGAAUCCAUAGGUUAAUGAGGCGAACCGGGGGAACUGAAACAUCUAAGUACCCCGAGGAAAAGAAAUCAACCGAGAUUCCCCCAGUAGCGGCGAGCGAACGGGGAGCAGCCCAGAGCCUGAAUCAGUAUGUGUGUUAGUGGAAGCGUCUGGAAAGGCGCGCGAUACAGGGUGACAGCCCCGUACACAAAAAUGCACAUAUUGUGAGCUCGAUGAGUAGGGCGGGACACGUGGUAUCCUGUCUGAAUAUGGGGGGACCAUCCUCCAAGGCUAAAUACUCCUGACUGACCGAUAGUGAACCAGUACCGUGAGGGAAAGGCGAAAAGAACCCCGGCGAGGGGAGUGAAAAAGAACCUGAAACCGUGUACGUACAAGCAGUGGGAGCACGCUUAGGCGUGUGACUGCGUACCUUUUGUAUAAUGGGUCAGCGACUUAUAUUCUGUAGCAAGGUUAACCGAAUAGGGGAGCCGAAGGGAAACCGAGUCUUAACUGGGCGUUAAGUUGCAGGGUAUAGACCCGAAACCCGGUGAUCUAGCCAUGGGCAGGUUGAAGGUUGGGUAACACUAACUGGAGGACCGAACCGACUAAUGUUGAAAAAUUAGCGGAUGACUUGUGGCUGGGGGUGAAAGGCCAAUCAAACCGGGAGAUAGCUGGUUCUCCCCGAAAGCUAUUUAGGUAGCGCCUCGUGAAUUCAUCUCCGGGGGUAGAGCACUGUUUCGGCAAGGGGGUCAUCCCGACUUACCAACCCGAUGCAAACUGCGAAUACCGGAGAAUGUUAUCACGGGAGACACACGGCGGGUGCUAACGUCCGUCGUGAAGAGGGAAACAACCCAGACCGCCAGCUAAGGUCCCAAAGUCAUGGUUAAGUGGGAAACGAUGUGGGAAGGCCCAGACAGCCAGGAUGUUGGCUUAGAAGCAGCCAUCAUUUAAAGAAAGCGUAAUAGCUCACUGGUCGAGUCGGCCUGCGCGGAAGAUGUAACGGGGCUAAACCAUGCACCGAAGCUGCGGCAGCGACACUAUGUGUUGUUGGGUAGGGGAGCGUUCUGUAAGCCUGUGAAGGUGUGCUGUGAGGCAUGCUGGAGGUAUCAGAAGUGCGAAUGCUGACAUAAGUAACGAUAAAGCGGGUGAAAAGCCCGCUCGCCGGAAGACCAAGGGUUCCUGUCCAACGUUAAUCGGGGCAGGGUGAGUCGACCCCUAAGGCGAGGCCGAAAGGCGUAGUCGAUGGGAAACAGGUUAAUAUUCCUGUACUUGGUGUUACUGCGAAGGGGGGACGGAGAAGGCUAUGUUGGCCGGGCGACGGUUGUCCCGGUUUAAGCGUGUAGGCUGGUUUUCCAGGCAAAUCCGGAAAAUCAAGGCUGAGGCGUGAUGACGAGGCACUACGGUGCUGAAGCAACAAAUGCCCUGCUUCCAGGAAAAGCCUCUAAGCAUCAGGUAACAUCAAAUCGUACCCCAAACCGACACAGGUGGUCAGGUAGAGAAUACCAAGGCGCUUGAGAGAACUCGGGUGAAGGAACUAGGCAAAAUGGUGCCGUAACUUCGGGAGAAGGCACGCUGAUAUGUAGGUGAAGUCCCUCGCGGAUGGAGCUGAAAUCAGUCGAAGAUACCAGCUGGCUGCAACUGUUUAUUAAAAACACAGCACUGUGCAAACACGAAAGUGGACGUAUACGGUGUGACGCCUGCCCGGUGCCGGAAGGUUAAUUGAUGGGGUUAGCCGCAAGGCGAAGCUCUUGAUCGAAGCCCCGGUAAACGGCGGCCGUAACUAUAACGGUCCUAAGGUAGCGAAAUUCCUUGUCGGGUAAGUUCCGACCUGCACGAAUGGCGUAAUGAUGGCCAGGCUGUCUCCACCCGAGACUCAGUGAAAUUGAACUCGCUGUGAAGAUGCAGUGUACCCGCGGCAAGACGGAAAGACCCCGUGAACCUUUACUAUAGCUUGACACUGAACAUUGAGCCUUGAUGUGUAGGAUAGGUGGGAGGCUUUGAAGUGUGGACGCCAGUCUGCAUGGAGCCGACCUUGAAAUACCACCCUUUAAUGUUUGAUGUUCUAACGUUGACCCGUAAUCCGGGUUGCGGACAGUGUCUGGUGGGUAGUUUGACUGGGGCGGUCUCCUCCUAAAGAGUAACGGAGGAGCACGAAGGUUGGCUAAUCCUGGUCGGACAUCAGGAGGUUAGUGCAAUGGCAUAAGCCAGCUUGACUGCGAGCGUGACGGCGCGAGCAGGUGCGAAAGCAGGUCAUAGUGAUCCGGUGGUUCUGAAUGGAAGGGCCAUCGCUCAACGGAUAAAAGGUACUCCGGGGAUAACAGGCUGAUACCGCCCAAGAGUUCAUAUCGACGGCGGUGUUUGGCACCUCGAUGUCGGCUCAUCACAUCCUGGGGCUGAAGUAGGUCCCAAGGGUAUGGCUGUUCGCCAUUUAAAGUGGUACGCGAGCUGGGUUUAGAACGUCGUGAGACAGUUCGGUCCCUAUCUGCCGUGGGCGCUGGAGAACUGAGGGGGGCUGCUCCUAGUACGAGAGGACCGGAGUGGACGCAUCACUGGUGUUCGGGUUGUCAUGCCAAUGGCACUGCCCGGUAGCUAAAUGCGGAAGAGAUAAGUGCUGAAAGCAUCUAAGCA
rnacentral:rRNA from 1 species